rnacentral:rRNA from 1 species
GAUCAUGGCUCAGGACGAACGCUGGCGGCAUGCCUAACACAUGCAAGUCGAACGGGGAUACAAGAGCUUGCUUUUGUAUCUUAGUGGCGGACGGGCGAGUAACGCGUGAGCAACCUGCCCUUCAGUGGGGAAUAACGUCUGGAAACGGACGCUAAUACCGCAUAACACAACGAAGCCGCAUGACUUUGUUGUCAAAGGAUUUAUUCGCUGAAGGAUGGGCUCGCGUCCGAUUAG